rnacentral:rRNA from 1 species
UACGUAGGGGGCAAGCGUUGUUCGGAAUUACUGGGCGUAAAGGGCGCGUAGGCGGUUCGUUAAGUGCUGUGUGAAAUCCCCCGGCUCAACUGGGGAACUGCACAGGAAACUAGCGGGCUUGAAUCCGGGAGAGGGAUGUGGAAUUCCAGGUGUAGCGGUGAAAUGCGUAGAUAUCUGAAGGAACAUCAGUGGCGAAAGCGACUUCCUGGACCAAUACUGACGCUCAUGUGCGAAAGCGUGGGGAGCAAACAGG